AGCGAACGCUGGCGGCAGGCCUAACACAUGCAAGUCGAACGAACCUUUCGGGGUUAGUGGCGGACGGGUGAGUAACACGUGGGAACGUGCCUUUAGGUUCGGAAUAACUCAGGGAAACUUGUGCUAAUACCGAAUGUGCCCUUCGGGGGAAAGAUUAAUCGCCUUUAGAGCGGCCCGCGUCUGAUUAGCUAGUUGGUUGAGGUAAUGGCUCACCAAGGCGACGAUCAGUAGCUGGUCUGAGGGGAUGAUCAGCAACAUUGGGACUGAGACACGGCCCAAACUCCUACGGGAGGCAGCAGUGGGGAUCCUUCCGCAUGGGCGGAAAGCCUACCCCGGCCAUCCCGGGUAAAUGAUAAAGUUCUAGGAUUGUAAAAUUCUUUCACCGGGGACGAUAAUGACGGUACCCGGAGAAGAAGCCCCGGCUAACUUCGUG
rnacentral:rRNA from 1 species